GGUCGGCUCGCCUCCCUCUCCCACCGGCCCAGCCUCCCUCCCCCCGCCGGCGCCGCGUCACUGCCACCCCGACCUUCACACACGCAUCGCGGGGCGGGGCGGCUGCGCAAGGCCCCACCCCCACCCCACCCCCUACCUCCAGACCUCCCCAACUCCUCGCCUCCCCACCUCCCUGCCUCUUGGCGUCAGCGAAGGCUCUGCUGCCUGCAGGGCAGAGAGGAGAGGGAGGAGGCCAGCGAGAGGGAGCCUCUGUCGGGGCGUGGGAGGAAAGCAAGAUAACGCAGGCGACCCGAGAAGGACGGUGAAUCUGACUGGCCAGACUGGGAAGUAGGCGAAGGGGAAGCAGCGAUACUGGGAAGUCUUGUCUGUCACCGAGGCUGGAGUGCAGUGUGGCAGGAUCAUAGCUUACUCCAUCCUUGAACUCCUGGGAUCAAGGAAUCCUCUAGCCUCAGCUUCCUGAGUAGGUGGGACUACAGAUGCAUACCACCAUGCCCCGUG
rnacentral:lncRNA from 10 species